UACGUAGGGGGCAAGCGUUGUCCGGAAUCAUUGGGCGUAAAGCGCGUGUAGGCGGUCCGGUAAGUCGGCUGUGAAAGUCCAGGGCUCAACCCUGGGAUGCCGGUCGAUACUGCCGGACUAGAGUUCGGAAGAGGCGAGUGGAAUUCCCGGUGUAGCGGUGAAAUGCGCAGAUAUCAGGAAGAACACCCGUGGCGAAAGCGGCUCUCUGGAACGGUACUGACGCUGAGACGCGAAAGCGUGGGGAGCGAACAGG
rnacentral:rRNA from 1 species